GACGAACGCUGGCGGCGUGCUUAACACAUGCAAGUCGAACGGAAAGGCCUCUUUCGGGGGGUACUCGAGUGGCGAACGGGUGAGUAACACGUGAGUAACCUGCCCCUGACUUUGGGAUAACUUCAGGAAACUGGGGCUAAUACCGGAUAGGAGCUCCUGCUGCAUGGUGGGGGUUGGAAAGUUUCGGCGGUUGGGGAUGGACUCGCGGCUUAUCAGCUUGUUGGUGGGGUAGUGGCUUACCAAGGCUUUGACGGGUAGCCGGCCUGGGAGGGUGACCGGCCACAUUGGGACUGAGAUACGGCCCAGACUCCUACGGGAGGCAGAAGUGGGGAAUAUUGCACAAUGGGUGGAAGCCUGAUGCAGCAACGCCGUGUGCGGGAUGACGGCCUUCGGGUUGUAAACCGCUUUCGCUCAUGACGAAGCUUUGUGUGACGGUAGUGGGUAAAGAAGCACCGGCUAACUACGUG
rnacentral:rRNA from 1 species